rnacentral:misc_RNA from 1 species
CUUUGAAUAAGUUCAUCAGCAUAUGUUCAACAAGAUAGUCACAUGUUACGCGGUUUAUUUAUGCGGACAAUGACACAGUUUGUCCGCAUACAAUACAUGCUUGCAUGUUUGUGUACAAAGCUGCUUACGUACAGAAGUGAUCAUAGUUUGAUCAGGAUAAAUAAACCGAAAAAGGCAGAACUAGUCUAACCAAAGGUGCCUGAUAGUAUGCCAAUCUACUUGAGGUUUGGAUUUUGGAGCAUGGCGAAUGUGCACGUGUUUUAUGUUCAUUGAUAUGAUAGCAAUCCCAAGGAUUAUAAAAAGAUACACAUAUGCAGAUAGAGAUGCUCUAGAUCUACAGACCUUUUCAGCUAGCCAGUUCUUGUGAGGAAGGUUUUUAUCAGCAUGCUCAAGGGAAUACCGCAGCAUGUCAACUAUUGUCAAUUCAGUGACUGGAUCACAGCUUUCUACAAGCAUAGGGGAUUGUAAUGAAUCCUCAAACGCAUCGAUCAUAUAAUUUACAAAGAGAUCGACAUGAAUCAUUGAACAGAAAGAGACAACUGUAACUUAAAAAAAGCAUAAAAUAAAACAUCUAAAUGGGAUCACCUGGUAUGUCAAAAAUUUGUUUCGCUGGUGGAAUACCUAGCAGCUCUCCCAACUGGACACGGACACGAGCACGGUCAGAAAGUGAAAGCAGAUCACCAUGCGUGAUAAUAACAACAGGCUUAUCAUCUUUAAAUGACAAGUAUGGGCAGUUGAAAGUUGUAGCAAUCAUCUGUAUGUACUUUGAGCCAUCAUCGUCACUGUCCAUCGAUUUCAAAACAGCAAGCCCAUUAACAACAAAUAUUACAAAGUUAACCAUCCUGGCCUCUUUGGACUGACUACAACUUCUACGCAUUUUGCAUUUCAUUCUGGUCCUUAAACUUGAAUUGUCUGAUGGCCUGAUAAUGAGUUCUCCAUGACGGACGCCUUUUGUGAUCCAACGUUUUAGCAUUGCAAUGUUAUCAGAGGGGUCAUCAGACAAACUGCGGGUAUCAUAAAUACAGAUUGAACUUGAACCUCUAGGGAUCAUAUAUUCCUGAAGAAAAUAGGUCCCUUCUCCACCAGAAGAAUUAUAUGAUACUUGUGCUCUUUCAGGUGCAAACUUAUCAUCUUCAAAUACUUUUGAUAUUCUAUUAACUAGACUGCUUUUUCCAGAUCCUUUGAAACCAACCAGUAAGAGCGUUGCUGUUUUUGGCACAUUAUAGUCACUCAAUUUCAUGCCACCUGCCUUCUCAAUCCAUUCUCCAGGUGUAUAACUCAAGAUUUUGCUCUUAGCUUCCUUCAGGCUCUCGAUUCUAUUCUGCAACUGCUCGUAACUCUGCAACACUUCCUUAUAAGCCUUGCAUCUGUUCCUCUGAUUGGCUUCAAAUUCUAAAGAAUUUGUAGAAAUAUUUCUAGGACCCAUGUCCUCAAAUCCUCCAAAAGGAAACCCAUACUCUUCAUUCACUGUUUCAACCUCAUGCUUCCUGGGAUGAUAAGGGAGAUUAAGGGAUGAUGAAUCAUCUUGGUCCAGCACCGAGGAUUCUUCCUCACCAGGAGUGAAAGAGAGAGGAGUAAGCGUAUCGCCGCCCAUAUCGGUUGCCCUGUGUAUAUCUAUCCAAUUCCUACUUUCCUUACAUACGCUAUACAGUGGGUGGAGAAACUAUACGG